rnacentral:rRNA from 1 species
AAACUCAAAGGAAUUGACGGGGAGCACCACAACAGGUGGAGCCUGCGGUUUAAUCGGACUCAACGCCGGGAAACUCACCAGAUAAGACAGCUGAAUGAUAGUCGGGCUGAAGACUCUACUUUGACUAGCUGAGAGGAGGUGCAUGGCCGUCGUCAGUUCGUACUGUGAAGCAUCCUGUUAAGUCAGGCAACGAGCGAGACCCACGCCCACAGUUGCCAGCGUACUCUCCGGAGUGACGGGUACACUGUGGGACCGCCGCUGCUAAGCGGAGGAAGGAAUGGGCAACGGUAGGUCAGUAUGCCCCGAAUAUCCCGGGCUACACGCGAGCUACAAUGGUUGGUACAAUGGGUAUCUACCCCGAAAGGGGACGGGAAUCUCCUAAAACCAAUCUUAGUUCGGAUUGAGGGCUGCAACUCGCCCUCAUGAAGCUGGAAUCCGUAGUAAUCGCGUUUCAACAGAACGCGGUGAAUACGUCCCUGCUCCUU